rnacentral:rRNA from 1 species
AGCGAACGCUGGCGGCAGGCCUAACACAUGCAAGUCGAACGGACCCUUCGGGGUCAGUGGCGGACGGGUGAGUAACACGUGGGAACGUGCCUUUAGGUUCGGAAUAGCUCCUGGAAACGGGUGGUAAUGCCGAAUGUGCCCUUCGGGGGAAAGAUUUAUCGCCUUUAGAGCGGCCCGCGUCUGAUUAGCUAGUUGGUGGGGUAAUGGCCCACCAAGGCUACGAUCAGUAGCUGGUCUGUGAGGAUGACCAGCCACAUUGGGACUGAGACACGGCCCAAACUCCUACGGGAGGCAGCAGUGGGGAAUCUUGCGCAAUGGGCGAAAGCCUGACGCAGCCAUGCCGCGUGUAUGAUGAAGGUCUUAGGAUUGUAAAAUACUUUCACCGGUGAAGAUAAUGACUGUAGCCGGAGAAGAAGCCCCGGCUAACUUCGUGCCAGCCGCCGCGGUAAAAC